rnacentral:rRNA from 1 species
UAGAGUUUGAUCAUGGCUCAGGACGAACGCUGGCGGUGUGCUUCACACAUGCAAGUCGAACGGAGUAGCAAUACUCAGUGGCGGACGGGUGAGUAACACGUGGGAAUCUACCAUUAGAUGGGGAAUAACAGGCCGAAAGGACUGCUAAUGCCGCAUAUGUAUGUGCCUCGACAGGGGUGUAUAUGAAAGGAGUAAUCCGUCUGAUGAUGAGCCCGCGUCCGAUUAGCUAGUUGGUAAGGUAAAAGCUUACCAAGGCGACGAUCGGUAGGUGGUCUGAGAGGAUGAUCACCCACAAUGGGACUGAGACACGGCCCAUACUCCUACGGGAGGCAGCAGUGGGGAAUUUUACGCAAUGGGGGAAACCCUGACGUAGCGACACCGCGUGAGCGAAGAAGCCCUUUGGGGUGUAAAGCUCUGUCAACAGGAACGAAAAAAAUGACGGUACCUGUGGAGGAAGCAUCGGGCUAACUACGUGCCAGCAGCCGCG